UGGGGGAUAUUGCACAAUGGGCGAAAGCCUGAUGCAGCGACGCCGCGUGGGGGAUGAAGGCUUUCGGGUUGUAAACCUCUUUCGCUAUCGAACAAGGCCCGCUUAGGGUGGGUUGAGGGUAGGUGGAGAAGAAGCGCCGGCUAACUACGUGCCAGCAGCCGCGGUAAUACGUAGGGCGCGAGCGUUGUCCGGAAUUAUUGGGCGUAAAGGGCUUGUAUGCGGCGUGUUGCGCCUGCUGUGAAAACGCGGGGCUUAACUUCGCGCGUGCAGUGGGUACGGGCAGGCUUGAGUGUGGUAGGGGAGACUGGAAUUCCAGGUGUAGCGGUGGAAUGCGCAGAUAUCUGGAGGAACACCGAUGGCGAAGGCAGGUCACUGGGCCAUUACUGACGCUGAGGAGCGAAAGCAUGGGUAGCGAACAGG
rnacentral:rRNA from 1 species